UUACGGCCAUAUAACGUUGAAACACCGAUUCCUGUACGAUCAAAGAAGUUAAGCAAGGUCGAGUCUAUUAGUAUCUAUAUGGGUGACCGCUUGGGAAUAUCAGUUGCUGUA